rnacentral:rRNA from 1 species
UUGAUUAAUUACAAUUUUAUUCGCCAGGGGACUACGAGCGUAAGCUUAAAACCCAAAGGACUUGGCGGUGCCCUACACCUCCUAGAGGAGCCUGUUCUGUAAUCGAUGAUCCACGUUAUACCUCACCGUUUCUUGCCAAACCCGCCUAUAUACCGCCGUCUCCAACUUACCCUAUGAAGGAUUCACAGUAGGUUUAAAGAUCACUCAUCAGAACGUCAGGUCAAGGUGUAGCGAAUGAAACGGGAAGCAAUGGGCUACAUUUUCUAUCUUAGAUCACACGGAUAAUCAAUAUGAAACCUGAUUAUGAAGGAGGAUUUAGCAGUAAAAAGAAACCAACAUGUUCUUUUUAAGUCGGACCUAGGGCGCGUACACACCGCCCGUCACCCUCUUCAACUCAUUUCACUAUAUUUCAUAAUAAAAUUACUAGAGAUAAGAAGAGGCAAGUCGUAACAUGGUAAGUAUACCGGAAGGUGUACUUGGAAC